UUGCUAAAGGAACUUAUAGAAAAAUAUCCCUCAGUGGACAAUUUAACAACUCAAGAUUCAGUGCCACAAAAGUAGGUCACGUGCAUUCUCUUAUCAUAAGAAAUGUGAGCAAAGAAGAUGAAGCGACUUACCUCUGUCAUGCAGGAUCGGCAUAUGACAUGGAAUUUAUAAAUGGCACGAUUUUGGCAGUGAAAGAUCCCAAAACUCAACUUAAAUCUGUUACUGUGAAACAAACUCCAGACAUGGAGUCAGUCAAGCUGGGUGAUACAAUGACUCUGCAGUGUUCGCUCCUCUCCAAGAACAAAGAUGACACAGAUCAGUGUCCAGAUGAAGACACAGUGCACUGGUUCAAAGGUGGAUCAGAAUCCCACCCAGACGUCAUUUACCACGGCAAUGUCAGGAAUAAAGAGGAAGGGAGAUGUGACUACAGUCUGUCCAAAACUGUAACAAACUCGUCUGAUGCUGGGACGUACUACUGUGCUGUUGUCACAUGCAGUGAGAUCCUGUUUGGUGAAGGAACAAAAGUGGUGACAA